CCGGCAUGGCUCGCUGCCUGCGCCACAUCGGCGGCUGAUGUCGGCAUGGGUUACGGCCCUGGCGGUGGAGAUGACGCAGACAGCGACGAGCGCCGUGAGACUGUCAGGUGGACGCGACAGCUGCGAGAUGCGUGAGCCCGCGGCCACGCACCGCGCCGACUGCGGCUAGAGCCAUGCCACGCACAGACUGGGCUGCGUGGAGCCAUGUGGAGCAGAUCACCAGAACGGGGACUCCCCGCGGCUCGCAG